rnacentral:lncRNA from 1 species
AGGUCAAUCGCACUGCAACCAAUAUUAUUGAACACUGGAGUAAAACACAUAGUACAAAAUUGUUGAAAACAUAUUCAACUUAUACAACCGAAAUGAAUUACUUUCAUUCACUUCAAAAUAAGUAACAUUUAAACACUUCAAAACAUGAAAUGAGUUUGUACAAAAAAAACAACAUUCAUACACCAGUUUGUCGACUAUCCAUUGUAAUAAAUUAAACAAUCAUCAUAUUUCUAAAACUUCAGCGACUCUAGUUAUUCGGCUUUGCCUGUCAGGCCUCAAGGGUGCUUCGACAUCGCUAUGAGCAUUUGCUUCUUGUUUUUCCCAUGUCAUAUAUAGUCCCACAAUAGUGCAGCAUAACAUGUACGAAGUGUGUUGGGGUUGAACUCAAUCAAAG